rnacentral:rRNA from 1 species
GACACAGUCGCCACGGUAAUACGAAGGGUGCAAGCGUUACUCGGAAUUACUGGGCGUAAAGCGUGCGUAGGUGGUGGUUUAAGUCCGUUGUGAAAGCCCUGGGCUCAACCUGGGAAUUGCAGUGGAUACUGGGUCACUAGAGUGUGGUAGAGGAUAGUGGAAUUUCCGGUGUAGCAGUGAAAUGCGUAGAGAUCGGAAGGAACAUCUGUGGCGAAGGCGACUAUCUGGGCCAACACUGACACUGAGGCACGAAAGCGUGGGGAGCAAACAGGAUUAGAUACCCCUGUAGUCCCUGUCUCUUAUACA